rnacentral:rRNA from 1 species
UACGGAGGAGGCAAGCGUUAUCCGGAGUUAUUGGGCGUAAAGCGUCCGCAGGUGGCACUUCAAGUCUGUCGUCAAAGACUGGGGCUUAACCCUGGAAAGGCGGUGGAAACUGAAGCGCUAGAGUGCGGUAGGGGUAGAGGGAAUUCCCGGUGUAGCGGUGAAAUGCGUAGAGAUCGGGAAGAACAUCGGUGGCGAAAGCGGGUCUCUGGGCAUCUCCUGACGCUGAGGCGCGAAAGCGUGGGGAGCAAACGGG